rnacentral:tRNA from 1 species
AAGGUUUUAAGUUAAAAUAAAACUAAUAAUCUUCAAAAUUAUAUAUAAAGAAAAUUUCUUUAAGCCUUA